GUAAACUGAAGAGUUUGAUCAUGGCUCAGAUUGAACGCUGGCGGCAGGCCUAACACAUGCAAGUCGAGCGGUAGCACAGAGAAGCUUGCUUCUUGGGUGACGAGCGGCGGACGGGUGAGUAAUGCAUAGGAAUCUGCCCGAUAGUGGGGGAUAACCUGGGGAAACCCAGGCUAAUACCGCAUACGUCCUACGGGAGAAAGGGGGCUCCGGCUCCCGCUAUUGGAUGAGCCUAUGUCGGAUUAGCUAGUUGGUGAGGUAAAGGCUCACCAAGGCGACGAUCCGUAGCUGGUCUGAGAGGAUGAUCAGCCACAUCGGGACUGAGACACGGCCCGAACUCCUACGGGAGGCAGCAGUGGGGAAUAUUGGACAAUGGGCGAAACCCUGAUCCAGCCAUGCCGCGUGUGUGAAGAAGGCCCUCGGGUUGUAAAGCACUUUCAGCGAGGAAGAACGCCUAGCGGUUAAUACCCGCUAGGAAAGACAUCACUCGCAGAAGAAGCACCGGCUAACUCCGUGCCAGCAGCCGCGGUAAUACGGAGGGUGCAAGCGUUAAUCGGAAUUACUGGGCGUAAAGCGCGCGU
rnacentral:rRNA from 1 species